rnacentral:lncRNA from 1 species
UGGGCAAAUGUAACAAGUGAAAACCUUCCAUUUCUUGAUAAAUUAUAUAAAAGAAAAUUUAAAAAAUAAACAUAUCCAAUCAUCUUGAAGCACAGAUGACAUCUUCAAGCAAUAGCAGUUAUCUUGAAGCCUACACGACAUCUUCAAGCAAUAGCAGUUAUCUUGAAGCCUACACGACAUCUUCAAGCAUUAGCAGUCCCCAUGCCAAAUUAAUAUCAGAUCAGCACCUGCUCAUAUUCGGCAAACAUCAAUUAGUCCACCAGUUUUGGGAGUGCAAAUUUGAGUCGUUAACGAAUGAAAAGCUUUUAAUUUUGCUACAAUGAACAGUACGAGGAUACAGCUUUUUGCAACCAGGGUAUGCCCGCAGCUUAGGCAGAAUGAACAAAAUAAAAGGGGAAAAAAGAGAAACUUAUAUAAUAAAGUUAAUAAAAGUAAACACAACAUAAAAGAAUGAUUUAAACACAAUCACUAGUUCCAUGUUUAGAAUUUACCUCU